ensembl:lncRNA
GUUGGGAGACUGAAUGGGAAUACUAGGUGCUGUAAGCUUUUUAUUUGGAUCAGUGUUUUCAUGGCCUCUGCACAACAUCCUGUUUUGGGAUAAAGGUUGGACACAGGUUUGAAGGGGACAAUCAAUCAAUCAAUCAAUCAAUCAGUCAGUCAGUCAGUCAGUCAGUCAGUCUUUUGAUUACACUAUUUAAAUAGGCCCCAUUUGGGGUCAGCUUUCGCUUACGGCCAUACCACUCUGAAAAAGCCUGAUCUCAUCUGACCUCGGAAGCAAAGCAGAGUUGGGCCUGGUUAGUACUUGGUUGGGAGACUGAAUGGGAAUACUAGGUGCUGUAAGCUUUUUAUUUGGAUCAGUGUUUUCAUGGCCUCUGCACAACAUCCUGUUUUGGGAUAAAGGUUGGACACAGGUUUGAAGGGGACAAUCCCAAUCAAUCAAAUCAUCAGUCAGUCAGUCUUUUGAUUACACUAUUUAAAUAGCCCCAUUUGGGGUCAGCUUUCGCUUACGGCCAUACCACUCUGAAAAAGCCUGAUCUCAUCUGACCUCGGAAGCAAAGCAGAGUUGGGCCUGGUUAGUACUUGGUUGGGAGACUGAAUGGGAAUACUAGGUGCUGUAAGCUUUUUAUUUGGAUCAGUGUUUUCAUGGCCUCUGCACAACAUCCUGUUUUGGGAUAAAGGUUGGACACAGGUUUGAAGGGGACCCAAUCAAUCAAUCAAUCAGUCAGUCAGUCAGUCAUCUUUUUGAUUACACUAUUUAAAUAGCCCCCAUUUGGGGUCAGCUUUCGCUUACGGCCAUACCACUCUGAAAAAGCCUGAUCUCAUCUGACCUCGGAAGCAAAGCAGAGUUGGGCCUGGUUAGUACUUGGUUGGGAGACUGAAUGGGAAUACUAGGUGCUGUAAGCUUUUUAUUUGGAUCAGUGUUUUCAUGGCCUCUGCACAACAUCCUGUUUGGGAUAAAG